UGUUUUUGUUCUUACUUUAUUUUCUAAUGAGAUGUAUUGAAUGUUUGGUUGAUGAAAUGGUAGGGUAUAUUGAUAAAUGGACAGUUUCCAGGACCUCAGAUUGAAGCUGUCACUAAUGAUAACUUGAUUAUCAGUGUUUUCAAUAGCUUGGAUCAACCUUUUCUGUUUUCUUGGAAUGGAGUAGAGCAGAGAAGAAAUUCAUGGCAAGAUGGAGUAUAUGGAACAAACUGUCCAAUUCCACCAGGAAAGAACUUCACUUAUGUUCUUCAAGUAAAAGAUCAGAUUGAGAGAAAGUGGUGGUUCCCGUGACGAAACCGUACGUAACGUUUGAAGGUGAAGGAAGAGAAGUAACAGUGAUAGAAUGGCAUGAUAGAACGAGUGAUCCUGGUCCCAAUGGACAACAGCUACGGACUUAUAGAACUGCUUCUGUU